CAGAUGGUGUCAACUUGGUGCUGUUUACACAGACUGUUCUUUGAAUGACCAAGAGAGAGUUGGCAGGGCCACUUACACCAAAGACUUAGAGACCUGGAGGCGCUCAAAGGAGAGACAGCAAACAGUGAUGAGAAGGUUUGGAAUCCAACCACCAAGUUCUGCUGAACGAAUGAUUUUAUAAUCAGCUAACUCUGCCCACGAUGGAAAGCAAAGGCCAGUUUCACAGACCCAAAUACAUUUGGCCUCUGAACGACAUGGAUUUGAACUGUGAGGAUCCAUUUACAUGUGGAUUUUCUUCUGCCUCUGCCGUCCCAGAGACAGCAUGACCAGCCACUCAUCCUCCUCCUCCUCCUCAGCCCACUCAACAUGAAGACGAUGAGGAGGAAGGCCUUUCGGAUGAUCCACUUCCAUUAAACAAA
rnacentral:lncRNA from 10 species